rnacentral:rRNA from 1 species
AUUGAACGCUGGCGGCAGGCCUAACACAUGCAAGUCGAACGAGUGGCGGACGGGUGAGUAAUGUCUGGGAAACUGCCUGAUGGAGGGGGAUAACUACUGGAAACGGUAGCUAAUACCGCAUACCAUCGGAUGUGCCCAGAUGGGAUUAGCUAGUAGGUGGGGUAAAGGCUAACCUAGGCGAAGAUCCCUAGCUGGUCUGAGAGGAUGACCAGCUCCACUGGAAUGUAGACACGGUCCAGACGCAUACGGGAGGCAGCAGUGGGGAAUAGUGCACAAGGGGCGCAAGCCGGAUGCAGCCAUGCCGCGUGUGUGAAGAAGGCCUUCGGGUUGUAAAGCACUUUCAGCGGGGAGGCGUUACCCGCAGAAGAAGCACCGGCUAACUCCGUGCCAGCAGCCGCGGUAAUAC